rnacentral:siRNA from 1 species
GGCAACACGUCAGGGUUCCGA